UACAGAGGGGGCAAGCGUUGUUCGGAAUUACUGGGCGUAAAGGGCGCGUAGGCGGCCUUCUAAGUCGAACGUGAAAUCCCCGGGCUCAACCUGGGAACUGCAUCCGAAACUGCCUUGCUCGAGUAUGGGAGAGGGAAGUGGAAUUCCGGGUGUAGCGGUGAAAUGCGUAGAUAUUCGGAGGAACACCGGUGGCGAAGGCGGCCACCUGGUCCGGCACUGACGCUCAAGCGCGAAAGCGUGGGGAGCAAACAGG
rnacentral:rRNA from 1 species